rnacentral:rRNA from 1 species
GACUCCUCCCCGUUCAUCCAGCUUGUGAGCUGGUCGACGCCAAACCUGAACGCCGCGGCAAUCACCGCACUUAUGAACCGGUGGACGCCGGAGACGCACACUUUCCACCUCCGGACCGGGGAGAUGACCGUGACACUUCAGGAUGUUUCGAUGAUCCUUGGACUUCCUAUCGAGGGGAAGCCUAUGUGUAUGAGCACAGAUUUUGAUGGGUGGCGCAAGCAGAUGGAGGCCCUUAUUGGUAUGGCUUCUAUGGAGGGUGAAAUCACGAGUAAAGAGAGAGUCCCAGCCGGCGCUACUUAUAUAUGUGGAUCGUACAGAACUUUACGCACUACCCUGUCCCAGAUACUAAUGAUGUGA